rnacentral:rRNA from 1 species
UACGUAGGGGGCAAGCGUUGUCCGGAUUUAUUGGGCGUAAAGCGCGUGUAGGCGGCCAGGUAGGUCCGCUGUGAAAACCCGAGGCUCAACCUCGGGACGUCGGCGGAAACCAUUUGGCUAGAGUCCGGAAGAGGAGAGUGGAAUUCCCGGUGUAGCGGUGAAAUGCGCAGAUAUCGGGAAGAACACCCGUGGCGAAGGCGGCUCUCUGGGACGGUACUGACGCUGAGACGCGAAAGCGUGGGAGCGAACAGG